UACGUAGGGGGCGAGCGUUGUCCGGAUUUAUUGGGCGUAAAGAGCUCGUAGGCGGUGUGUCACGUCGGCCGUGAAAACCUGCAGCUUAACUGUGAGCGUGCGGUCGAUACGGGCAUCACUGGAGUUCGGCAGGGGAGACUGGAAUUCCUGGUGUAGCGGUGAAAUGCGCAGAUAUCAGGAGGAACACCGGUGGCGAAGGCGGGUCUCUGGGCCGAUACUGACGCUGAGGAGCGAAAGCGUGGGGAGCAAACAGG
rnacentral:rRNA from 1 species